AUCAUGCCUUUUGCUAUCUCAACUACAUAGCGAAAUAAGCAAAAUGGUGUUUGCAUAAAGGAUUGACACCAGCAUUGUUCAGAAGCAACAGCUCAAAAUUCCCGCAGCAUAUACAUCACUACCCCAAAACCCCUUUUGCCUACUACAUACCUGGCCUUUUCUCUACUCAACCAAUGAAACGGUUCGAUGGAAAACCAGGAGGACAGCAGGACUGUCCAUCCUCCACAU
rnacentral:lncRNA from 1 species